rnacentral:lncRNA from 1 species
CUUUAAGACAUCGUAUGGCCAUCGCGCCAACAUCGUAAUCCAUCGUGUAGCCUUCGUAAUCCAUCGUGUAGUCUUCGUAAUCCAUUGUGUAGCCUUCGUGAUCCAUCGUGUAGGCUUCGGCUGAGAUAUGAAGCUUAAAUACCCGUCUUCGGUUAACCUUCGUAUGUCCAUCUUUUGCUAUCGUAUAUAAUUUCGGCACCAUCGUAUAGACUUCGUUAUUCAUCGUACUUGCUUCGGUCACUUUUUGGUAUUUUAACGAGAUCGGGACCAACUUCGUACGAACUUACAAUUUUCGCAUUCGGGUGUCCAUCGUAUUAAAAAAUCGGGACAGUGUGACGCGGGC